AGCGAACGCUGGCGGCAGGCCUAACACAUGCAAGUCGAACGAAGUCUUCGGACUUAGUGGCGGACGGGUGAGUAACACGUGGGAACGUGCCUUUAGGUUCGGAAUAACUCAGGGAAACUUGUGAUAAUACCGAAUGUGCCCUUCGGGGGAAAGAUUUAUCGCCUUUAGAGCGGCCCGCGUCUGAUUAGCUAGUUGGUGAGGUAAAGGCUCACCAAGGCUACGAACAGUAGCUGGUCUGAGAGGAUGACCAGCCACAUUGGGACUGAGACACGGCCCAAACUCCUACGGGAGGCAGCAGUGGGGAAUCUUGCGCAAUGGGCGAAAGCCUGACGCAGCCAUGCCGCGUGGAUGAUGAAGGUCUUAGGAUUGUAAAAUCCUUUCACCGGUGAAGAUAAUGACUGUAGCCGGAGAAGAAGCCCCGGCUAACUUCGUGCCAGCCGCCGCCGUAAUAC
rnacentral:rRNA from 1 species